GCCAGACUCCUACGGGAGGCAGCAGUGGGGAAUAUUGCACAAUGGGGGGAACCCUGAUGCAGCGACGCCGCGUGGGUGAAGGAGCACCUCGGUGCGUAAAGCCCUAUCGGCAGGGGAGAAAAGCGAACAGGUUCGCCUGGACGGUACCUGACUAAGAAGCCCCGGCUAACUACGUGCCAGCAGCCGCGGUAAUACGUAGGGGGGAAGCGUUAUCCGGAUUCACUGGGUGUAAAGGGAGCGUAGACGGCGACGCAAGUCUGGAGUGAAAGCCCGGGGCCCAACCCCGGGACUGCUCUGGAAACUGCGUCGCUGGAGUACGGGAGGGGCAGGCGGAAUUCCUGGUGUAGCGGUGAAAUGCGUAGAUAUAAGGAGGAACACCGGCGGCGAAGGCGGCCUGCUGGACGAUGACUGACGUUGAGGCUCGAAAGCGUGGGGAGCAAACAGGAUUAGAUACCCCCGUACGG
rnacentral:rRNA from 1 species